ensembl:lncRNA
GGAUUUGAGUGCAAAAUAAUUUUAAAUGACAUUUGCUCAGCAAUGGAUGCUCUGCAGUGAAUGGGUGCCGUCAGAAUAAGAGAUGAUAAAAACAUCACAAUAAUAAAGUCUUCCUCCAGUGGAAAAAAAAAAGUGCAUCUCCUGUUGUCUCUCACAUCAAAAUCCAGCCACAUAUUUGUUUAGUCUUCUCCAGAUGUUAACUGAUGGACUGGGAUUACUUGUGGAUUAUUGUGAUGUUUUUAUCAGCUGUUUGGACUCUCAUUCUGACGGCACCCAUUCACUGCAGAGCAUCCAUUGCUGAGACACUGAUGCAGUGCUACAUUUCUAUAAACCUGAUGAAGAAACAAACUCAUCCUGAUCUCAGAUGAACUGAGAGUGAGCACAUUUACAGUAUUUAUCAGUUGCACCUCAUAUACAAAUAUCUUCCACACACAGUUCUCAAAACGAACGACGCUGCGUCUCGUUUAACACAACUGUUUGACGCUCACCUGACACAUACGCAUUCGUAUUCAAACUAAACGUCUGGGUUUUUUCACAUGAACGAAGACCUUUUCAGUCUGCCGGGCUCAGUUUGUCUGUUGGAAAACGAGGAGCG